GUUGUGUCGUUUGUUUUCUCUUAUUUUUGAGUGUAUAUUCACAUUGCGAUAAGACGUGUCACGGUACUUGUCUAUCCAAAAUUCAUGUAUUUGGUUUUGAUGUUAUAUUUGUUAUUCUCGUGGGAUUUUGUCUGAUGCUUGGUCCGUUUCUGUGUGUGUUACAUUGUAGUGUUGUGUCGUUGUUCUCCUCUUAUGUUUGGUGCGUUCCCCUCAGUUUUAGUUUGUUACCCCGAUUUUGUUUUUUGUCCAUGGAUUUAUGAGUUUGAACAGCGGUAUACUACUGUUGCCUUUAUAUAC
rnacentral:lncRNA from 1 species